UACGAAGGGGGCUAGCGUUGCUCGGAAUUACUGGGCGUAAAGGGCGCGUAGGCGGCACUGUUAGUCAGGCGUGAAAUUCCUGGGCUCAACCUGGGGACUGCGCUUGAUACGGCAGAGCUAGAGGAUGGAAGAGGCUCGCGGAAUUCCCAGUGUAGAGGUGAAAUUCGUAGAUAUCGGGAGGAACACCAGUGGCGAAGGCGGUUGCCUGGGGCUGUGCUGACGCUGAUGCGCGAAAGCGUGGGGAGCGAUCCGG
rnacentral:rRNA from 1 species